GGCAACUCAGGGCGCUGGUCCCUCCUGGGACCAUUCCCGGCCCCCAGCACACCUCCCCCGUGCCACGAUCCCGGCCACACUCCUCCCUAGACAUUCAACAAGCCCUGUCCUCCAGGGUGACUUAGACUGCACAAACCACCCUCCCCGUCACUGCUCAUCUGGUCCACCUGGGGGAUUCUCUCCAGGCGUCCAGGCCCAGCUGGGGGUCUCUAUUCCCUAAGGGUGCCAAGUAUGCUUGAUCCUAGGUCCUCAGCUCCGGUGCUGGUGAGGGGGGCUAUGCCAGCCUGGUGGGCCCAACCCUAAAGCUCCCUGAGGGCAAGGCUGAGUCUCUCCUUCUCAGUUUGGCCCAGAGCUGUGUACCUAGGAGGAUCCCUAAGCCUCCCUGAACUCCCCAGCUUGGAGACCCCUCCUAAGGGGUAUCAGGGACCCUGGGUCAGUUUCUUCUGUGGGCAAGAGCUCCAGGGGAAGAGGAUUCAGCCCUGGGCCCUGGUAGCCAGCAUGGCAUACCAGUUUUUCCAGCAACGCCAGCACUGUGUCCACCACUGGGCCCUGCUCAGCUCGUGGAUACAGACGCAAGGCCUGCCUCCCUCUCCAGCGCCAGCCACUGAGCUUCACGGCCACCUGCAACAGGGAGGGGAAGGCGGUGCCCUCACCACCCAGGCCUCUGCAGGGUGGGACACUCAUACCAUAGGAGCCAGUCAGGACACGGAGCUGGCCCAGAAGACGCUGGAGGCUGGACACCUGGAGACCUGGGUUCUAGCCUGAGCUCUGCCACUUUCUGUGCGGCCCUUGGUCCGCAGCAGGGUCCUUGGAGCCCAGGGGGCAGUCCCACUCGGGACCCAGCGGAUCCAGGGAGAGCUGAGGGGGGCAGAAGUGUGACCCACAGACCAUCAUGGAGUUCUGCCGAGACCUAAAUAUGUAGGUGAACCCGGCCCAGCGUCUUCUCCAAGUAGGCCCGAGGAUCUGCUAUGCGGCCAGUCUUGGGCCAGGCACCGGUAAGGAAAAAGCUGGUGUCCUUCUUUUCAGAUGUUCUGAGUCAUGGAAAUGUGCUCUUUGCAUGAAAUCUUAUACCCUGCCCCUCUGAGGCUGGCUGAGUCCUGACUCCUGCUCAGAGGCUCAGGGUGAACAGGUGGGGACACAGGUGGGCCUGUCCUCCAGGGGAAAGGCUGGGCCUCCCCGGACAAGUCAUGAGGUUUCCUUGGGCCUUGGGGUUGCCUGGUGCCCUCCCUGUCCACCCCCGGGGUCCUGAUACGGCUUGGACCCAGAGAAUCCCCUCGGUCAUCAGGAGACAACCUGUUGCAGGCAGCAGGG